rnacentral:rRNA from 1 species
UACCAGCACCCCGAGUGGUCGGGACGAUUAUUGGGCCUAAAGCAUCCGUAGCCGGUUUUACAAGUCCCCUCUGAAUUCAAACCGUGCUUAACAGAUGGGCCUGACGGAGUACUAUAAGACUAGGAGGCAGGAGAGGCAAGCGGUACUCAGUGGGUAGGGGUAAAAUCCGUUGAUCCAUUGAAGACCACCAGUGGCGAAGGCGGCUUGCCCAGAAUGCGCUCGACGGUGAGGGAUGAAAGCUGGGGGAGCAAACCGG